rnacentral:rRNA from 1 species
UACAGAGGGUGCAAGCGUUAAUCGGAAUUACUGGGCGUAAAGCGUGCGUAGACGGUCAUGUAAGUCGGGUGUAGCAAAGCCCCGGGCUGCAACCUGGGAAUUGCAUUCGAGACUGCAUGGCUAGGGUGCGGAAGAGGGAAGCGGAAUUUCCGGUGUAGCGGUGAAAUGCGUAGAUAUCGGAAGGAACACCAGUGGCGAAAGCGGCUUCCUGGUCCAGCACCGACGUUCAGGCACGAAAGCGUGGGGAGCAAACAGG